rnacentral:rRNA from 1 species
UACGGGGGGGGCAAGCGUUGUUCGGAAUUACUGGGCGUAAAGGGCUCGUAGGCGGCCAACUAAGUCAGACGUGAAAUCCCUCGGCUUAACCGGGGAACUGCGUCUGAUACUGGAUGGCUUGAGUUUGGGAGAGGGAUGUGGAAUUCCAGGUGUAGCGGUGAAAUGCGUAGAUAUCUGGAGGAACACCGGCGGCGAAGGCGGCAUCCUGGACCGGUAUUGACGCUGAGGCGCGAAAGCUAGGGGAGCAAACGGG